rnacentral:lncRNA from 10 species
CAGAUCUUCACUUGGCUACUGAUGAUGGAAACAAUCCGCCUCAGAGUCAGUCAAGCUACUGACAAAAACAUUUCUUUGGAAGUGAUGGGUAUUUAGGAUGUAAGCCCUGUGGCUCAAGACUGAGCUUAAAAUGUGUUUCGGGGGAUGUCCAAGUACAGAAAUCUCUACCAGAUGCCAUGAGACACAAAGGCCACAGAACACGCCAUGACAUUUGGUCUACCUUUCUCAUCCCCUAUUUGUCUCCAAGUCCUGGACCAUCUGAACUUGUAAGAAAUUAUCCAUGAAUUGAAAGUUAAAGAAGAGGUCAGAAAUAGAAUCAAAUAGUGUAAAUAGAUCCACAGAAGAAGAAGUAUAAUGAACCUGAAAUUGCUAAACCCCUUUUAAGGAAAAUUUUCCUAGCAUAAUAUAUGAAGAUGGUCCCUCUCUUUGUUGCCCAGGCUGGAGUGCAGUGGUGCGAUCUUGACUCACUGCAACCUCUACCUCCUGGAUUCAAGUGAUUCUCCUGCCUCCUGUAGUCCCAAGUAGCUGGGACUACAGGCACCCGCCACCAAGUCCAGCUAAUUUUUGUAUUUUUAGUAGAGAUGGGGUUUCACCGUAUUGGCCAAGCUAGUCUUGAAGUCCUGACCUCAAGUGAUCUGCCCCCCUCGGCCUCUCAAAGUGCUGGGAUUACAGGCGUGAGCCACUCCACUGAGCCUGGCCUUUUAAUCUUUUUUUUUUUUUUUAAUUCUUUCUUUUUAAAAUUCUUGUUUUUUAAAUUCUUAUCUUUUUAAAAGUUAUUUUAGUCACCGCUUUGCUCUUCUUUGCCUUUCAAUUGCUUGUUAGAUCUUGUUAGAUAGAUGUUGGAUGUCUACAUCUCUUAACAUUUUACUCAUAUUUUCUAUCUUUUUUAUUUUUGCUGUUUGUCUAGGAAAUUCCCUCAACUCUGUACUCUUGAUUACCAAUUUGUUUUAUUGGCAUUCUUGUAUUAUUUAGUGUGAUGCUAAAGUUUCUAGUCUGUCAUUCAUAUUUUUAAUCUUUUUAAUGUCUACAAUAAUGCAAUAUCUUCUAUUGCUCUUUUCUUAUUGUGGCCCAUUUGAAUUUUAUGCAUAUCUUAGCUUCUUUAGUCUCUCUGAGAAAAUUAAUUAGAAAUUUUAAAAAGUAUUUUUUGGGCUGGGCAUGGUGGCUCAUGCCUGUAAUCCCAGUACUUUGGGAGGCCUAGGUGGGAGGAUCACCUGAGCCCAGGGGAUCAAGACCAGGCUAGGCAACACAGUAAGACUCUGUAUGUACAAAAUUUUUUAAAAAAACAGCCAGGCGUGGUGGUGAGCACCUGUAGUCCCAGCUACUAAGGAAGCUGAGGUGGGAGGAUUGUUUGAGCCCUAGAGGUUAAGAUUGCAGUGAGUCCUGAUCAUACCGCUGUACUCUAGCCUGGGUGACAGAGCAAGACCCUGUCUCAAAAAGAAAAAAGAAAAGUGAGUUUUCCAUCUCUUCAAAGUCUUGGUGGGGACCAAAAAGCUGAAGAAAUCAGAGAUAAGUGCUGCACAUUCUAAGGAAAGGUGCAAGACAUCUGCGGUACUCCACCAGCCCCCAACCUUGGAGGAUCCAGAAACAGAAGAGGAGAAGUAGCAAGCAGAGAGCAGAUACAAACAGCACUCCCUGCAAUCAUUUACCCAUUUGUGGUUCUCUAGUUGCAAGCCAGUUGCUUAUGCUGGGGUAGGGAAAGGUGCUUUGAAAUGGUUUGUUUUGAUUUAAAUUGGAUUGGAUAUUUUCACAUCUGAAAAUAAUACUGUUCUAAUACCCAAAAGUGACAAUAUAAAAGCUAUAGGGAAACUUCCUGAGGUAUUUUCCAAGAGAGCAGAAAGCAGGUCUAACAGAGAAUUUCUUAAAAUAGUGGUAGAGAAAAAGGAAACAAAUUCUUGGUUGUAUCCCAUUGAAAUUAGCCUGUUCACCUGCACACACAUACAUGUGUCUACGUAUUCUCACAGUAUUGCAUUUUUUUCUAGGUUGAUGAAAUAUCUUUAAGCUCUUUGGUCUAUGCUUCAUAAAAGAUAGCAAAAUAAAAUUUUAUGGAAUUUCCAAUAACAGAACAUAUGGCAAAGAUGGAGUCAAGCAAUAGAACCCCAGUUUGUAACUGGCAAAUUCGGCAGCAGAGUAUACAGACCUAUGGUUUGUACUUCUGCUCAGGGCUAUUAAUAUUGUAAAUGACUCUAAUAACUGACUGCUUAGCUUACAUUAUGUGAUGAAGGAUCUUCAUUCUCCUGGGCAAUCUCAGAUCUUUUAAUAAUUAUUGGUUUAAUAAGUGAAAAUAUUCAGUCAACAAAAUGGUUAUUUGAAAUAAUACCAUAUGUAGAAACAAUUUUCCAAGUUCACAUAUUAAUAUAAUAAUGUGUUAAUUACAGAAAGCUGAUUGUUUGGGUAGCGCACUCCUAGAGGCUGAAGUGCAGCAACAAUGUGGGUCAGUCCCUGAGAGCCUGAGCUCUUGCAUUUUGGUCAUGUCAAGCCCAAGAUCAAGAGAAAGCUCAUGUGGUAAAAAGCUUGGCAUGACAUCUUAGAGACCCAGAGCACGGAGGCCCUUUACAUAAACAGAACAAAUCCUUUUCAGUGCUUUUAGACCUUAACAAACAUGGGGUGAUGUACAAAACUGCACUCCCCCCACUAUAAGGCUAGCCCCCACCCUACAAACCCCUGAACUCUUUUCAGCAUUUCUUAAAUCUGUUCCAUUGAACAAUCUGCGUUCAUUGUAACAAAUACAAUCUCAUUGAAUUAGAUUCUGAAGAGACUUUAUAGUAGAGGAAAAAAGGAGACUGAUCCUGUAUUCUCUUUAGUUUAAACAAGGAACAGAGCACAGCAAAUGAGAAAUCUUGGGUGAGCUAAGUUCACUGGAAUGGGUGGGGAGGGAUGGGGAAGAGGAAGGGGGGAAAUUGGAGAGACUUGUACCAGAUAAGGAAUCCAUUUCUAGGUGUCUCAGAAACAAAAAACCCAGUGUUAAUGUCUGUGCUUUAAUUACAUGACUGUUAGGUGUCACUGGGCACGUUUUUAUUUUUCUAUUACAAUGCAAUACAUUUCUUUGAAUUUAAACUUCCUUCAAUUGUUAGAUAAGGCUUGGAGUCAGAAUCACCAAAAUUAUAAAGUGGGAGGGGAAAAACAUGCCAGUAGCUAUUGAAAGAUGUAACAAAGAUUUGACUAAUCUGAAUAUUUAUAGUUUGUAAUAGCUUAUUGGCCAUCAUAGUCUGAUAAACCUGCACUAUCGCCCAGGCACACACAAUUCAUUGCCUAGUAUCAUUAUGAUUAUCUAUGGCUGUCUCAUUACUCAACCAUUGCUUCACUUGUAUCAGGAGUAAAAAUAAGCCAUAAGCUUCCCUGUUGCUUAACCUAACAACAAAUCAUUCCAAUUCCAAGCCCAAUGUCUAUUAUUCAAAGCAAAUUAGGAUCGUACAGACAGAUUUCUUCUUCCUUCACUGGGGCAGCUGACCUCUCUCCCCUGAAGCUGUCGACCCAUGCAAAUGUUACACUUAGGAACUCAUUCUUGAUUUUCGGGAGUUACAAAUCCCUAAUAACUUAACGAGCAAAACAUAGAGUUAGCUUUGCAAUGCUUCAGCACACAAAUUAGCUAGACAAAUAAAAAGGAUUAAAAAAAUCUUGAAAACAGCACUUAUCAUCAGUCUCCCAUUCAGAAAUAAUGAAGGGAGAUGGUUUAUACAGACUUAGUAAUAAGACACGACAUAAAUGUAAAUAUAACAUGUUAUGCCCUUUCUUCUGGUGAACAAUAAGCAUUUUGUUCAUUAUCCAGAGCCUCUUUGUUUAUAAUGAAUGUGGUGAUGAAUCGAAGUUAUGACAUCAAUUAAAUCACAAGUUUGUAUUAUUUUCAAACAGACAAAAUGCAGAUAUUUUAAGGCAGGUAGGAAAAAUGAUGAGUUACUGUCUAUUCUUGGUCUCUAAAUGAGUUAUACAUAUUCAAAAAAGGAACAUUAAAGAUGCUCUACAAAGCCAGGAUCAUAUAUUACUUUUACUCUGAACAAAGAUAACAUUUGUAGAAUGCCAUUAGCAAUAAAUCUUUUAGAUUUUUUCACUUAAAAUCUUAUGAUCCCAAUGGGAAGAAUAGAUAAUCAGUAAAUAGAACUCUGAUAUCUGUCAGGAAUUUGCCUGAAUUAGAGCUGAACUAUCUUGACAGGGAGCUUGAGAAAAAAAAUUACCUUUGGUAUUCUGAUGAAUGUAUUUGAAUUUUUCUUUAAAGGCAUCACUAAAAUAGAAACAAAAGUACUUACCUUGUCACAGUUGAAAAACACAGGAUGUGUAGUACAUAAUUACCAAUGAUACAAAGUAAAUAUCGUUGGAUAAAAAAUACAGACCAUAGAAUCAUUUCAAAGAAUAUUGAACUUGAAUAUGUUAUAAUAAAAUAUAAACUGUUUGGUAUUAUGCAUUUCUCCUUUUUGUGAUUUUGUAAUUUCAACGUAAGAGAGAAAUAUGAAUUAAAAAUGUUUUAUAAAUUUUCUCUUUUCUUUUCCAACCAAUGGUUAUGUAAGGAGAGAAAAAAAGAAGGGAGAGGAUUUAAAGCAUUCUGGAAUAGUCUACAUAUUAUGUCCAGAAAGACAUGGUUCUUGUUGACUCUUUGGAGCAUUGCAGUAUCUGGCCCUGAAUGUGAUUUAGUUAUGGAGUCACUGUGUAUUAAAUACUCAGUGCAGAAGGUUUCAUAUCUUUCCAUCAUCUUGUUUCUCUGGAAAGAAAGGGCUCCCAGAAAGGGGGACUGUAAUAUGCCGAGGAACUCUUCUUGAGAAGAGAGUUGCCUCGCUAACAUCUCUGUGCACAACUCCCCCUGCUUUUCUCCUUAAAACAUGCAUUGCCCAUGAACUGGAAUAGAAGAUGGCUCAUUAGCUUCUUAGGGUCCUCUGGAAGCCAUAAGAGGACAGUGGAAUGUGGCAGGAGGAGUGCUGGUGGUGUCCACUUCAAAGAACAAUCCUCUCUCUCAAAUCAGUGUGUGACUGGUACCAGAAAAGGCCACUUAGAGUGAAUCUAUUCAAAAUUGAAGCCAACCUUUUGUGGACAAUAGUGGAAAAUGGAAAGCUUUGGUUGAGCUUUAUCUAAAAAUAAAAUAGAACAUAAUGAAAAAAAUUAAAAAAAAUGCUUAACAAUGAAAACGAUUCUCUAGUCCUUAGAACAAAUGAAAAAUUAGCCAAAUCUUAAUUUUUUUCAAUUAUCUUCCCAGCAUAAUUUUAGGGUAUUAAAUUCUCCACUGGGUACUUGACUUGAAGAUCAUGCUCAUAAAAAGAAUCAAUUGUGCAAAGAUAUUCCAUGGCUUUUUAAAUUUUCAAAUGAGUUUUCCUAAUUAUUUGGUUUUUAGCUUAUUCCCUUUUGAAUCUCAUUAUCUUUUUCAUUUUCCCUAUUUUCAAUUUUCUGACCUUGAUGGAGCCACAAAAUCUUUGCCUGUGACUUGAGCAAGUCUCUAAUAUCACUUGAAUAAAUUGUAUGAAGUCCUGCAUUUUGAAAAGAUUUUCAAUUUAACUUUUUAGGUUUUUUUUCUAUUUACAUGGGAAGUUGUAACUAUCAGAUUGUUAGCAGGAUUAUAACUGAUCAAGAUGUUGAUUUUGUGGAUUAAGGUAGGCACUAUAUUAAUUGCAGAGGGGAGUUUGGGUUGCUACUAAUUUUACAAUUGCUCAGUUCACCAGUGAAUAUUUUCAUGCUAUGACAACUUUUGAUUUCCUACGGGGGAUUUCUUGAUGAGGAAUCAGAUACCUGUGUCUAUCUGACAAUCUACUGAAGAUUCAGAGAAAACAAUGCAGGGAUUAAUAACAGCUAAAUAGCUAAUAUGUUUUUGAAAGUGAACUAUGUUCUAAGCAUUUAAACAUUUGUGCCUCGGAGUUGUCACUGUGCUAUGUAAGAAGGAGGGGCAUUUUGGCUUCAGAUUGCUUAUUUUAUUCUUAAAUUGCUUAGACUCCUUUGCUGCAGAUUCAUUGUUCUAUCCAUCUAUUACACAUGCAUAUAUGGGUGCUCACUGUCCAUCAGACACUGUGCUAGGCCCUGGAGAUAUAGAGCUAGAUCAUGCAGAAAGCUCAGGAUCUAGUAGGAGACACAUCACUCUCUACUGUCCUGAGCAAACAGUACAGCGGAGAUCUUUAAAAAAAUUUUUUAAAGACUAGUUACUAUGAUACAUUUACUAUGUGUCAGAGACCACACUAGAUGCUUUACUUAGAUCAUUUCCUUUAUUCUAACAAUCUGGUUGGUGGCUGACACUAGAUUUGUACCUAGCUUUUUCUGAGGCCAAAGCCAUGUUCUUUACCAUGGUGCUCCACCACCCACUGCUUCAUAGUGAAUAUAAAGACAAAGGUUUAUGUCUAGGUACUGUGAGAACAUCUAGGAGGGGACCCUAACCUAGACUGAGGAUGCUUAUGAAAGCCUCGCUGGGGGUGUCAUUAUCUUAGCUAGAUGCCUGAGGACAAGUGCAUAGCCUGUUGGCAAGGAAGAGCAACAUGGAGAUGUCGUAAAGGGAUGGGUUGGAUUCAGGAAAUUUCUCUUUGUUUUCCUCAGUAUUAUAAGCAUAGUUAUAGUAUAGACCAUUUUACACUACAUUACCUAGAAUAUAACAAUGUAAUUUCAUUUAUAAUUAUGUUUAGCGUUCCUAACAUGAAAAAAUUCCAAAUAAAAUCUUGUAUCUAAUUAUUGUCCUCAUUUUUGUACAAAAGAUUUCAAAAGCCCACUGCCUCGGGCGG